UUCCCCUCAAACAAGUAGCUUGUAUAAAAUUACUCAUAACAUGAACAUGCUAAAGAAAUUCUUUUGAAUGAUGAAAAGUUACUUUGUACAUUAUAUUAAAAUUUAUUUUCUAUGUAUACCCAAAUUUUCAAGUAUUAGAUUUACUUAGAAAUUCACCAGUGUUAUCAUUAUACAAUUGGCUGGAAUUAACAGUUGCAAUACAGUUAUUCUAGCUUUUCAUAUUCAAUUUGAAUGAUCAGAAAAGUAUAUUAGUCACACAGAAUUAAAUAUUUUAGAUAGUAAGAAUCUUACACUUUAUUAGAUAAUAAAACAUAAUUGAUAUUUGCUUAAGUAACAAAAAAGUUAAGAAAUUGGGUUAUAAGCAAAGGAACAUAAGUGUAAAAUGUGUAGAAAGAUAAAUAUUUUCCAAAUAAAAUUCUAAUAAAAGGCUAAACAUUCUCAAAUAUUUUACAUACAUGAAGAAUAAAUUAUUUCUGGUUAACAUGUUUUUGCCUUAGUGCCAAAAAAGCCAGAACAAAUUUGAUAAGCUCACAUUAAAAUCAAAGUUUUCUAGAUAUGAAUUCUAUAUACCAUCUCUAUAUUUGUUUAGAAUUUUGCAAAAUUCUUAGAAGAUUGCAUGUUAGGGUGGGGGAAGAUAAAUGCUUGCCAAUACUGACAUGGUUAAUUAACAGACAGGCUUGAAAGGAGAAGGCUAGAAGAGGGAAGAUUAUGUCACUAAGCAUAGCUACAAAAGGAAAAGCCACAUGGAAGCAGAGACAAAGGCAAUCCCGACACACAGAGGCAUGUUUGUUGCGGCUCAGGGUUUCUGUUUUUCAAGUGUUCAGAGACGAAUUCCAGCAAGACUUCUGGUUUGAGUCAAGCCUUUCAACCGAGGUGCUUGGCAUACUUAACGGAAAAAGCGAGUACAUUCAGAUUUAGUUUUGCUAGAUAUUAAACUAGAAAACUGGAUGACAGUAAAACCAAUACAGAAACAAAAAGUCAUGUUUCCAGUAAAGAACCGUACACACAAGCAGGUUUUGCUUAUUAAUGUAGCAGGAGAGCAUGGAAAUCGGAGUUCAGACUCUUUAGAAAAGACAAAAGGCAGGGGAGGGGAGAGAAGAAAAGGAGGAAUGCAGAGAAGCCCUCCAAGAAUGAUGAGUGAUUCGUGCAGGAGAGGGAAAUACAGACGUUCCGUCCAUGUGAGAUUCUGCUUCAGGUAUUGGACAUCGUUCCCUCCACCUGCACCUAGAGGAUAUAAAUUUCAUUUAUGAAAUAUGUAUCCAUCAUCUAGGUAUCUUAUACAUGGAGAGCUGACUGCAUCCCUUGUAUAAAAAGUAAAUGAAGACCGGAAGGAAGCAGACUUUGUCCUGCAAACUGAAGCAAAGUUCCAUGCUAAGAAUCAGCAGGUUUUCUAGGUAGGUAAUGCCACCAGUGGAGGAUUAUUACAGUUCUCAAAUCAUGAGGGAAAGAGAUGGAGAAGAGGGAGGGAGGAGGGAAAAUCUUGCAUUCUAAGAGGUAAGAGUCCCCAUUACAAUUGCAAUGCUUCUUUAGACAGCUGAUUUUUCUGGCUGGAAGGCACAUUAAAAAUAACCCUAACAAUAACUUACCAAGACAAUGGAAAUCAAAAGAAAAGAAGGUAGACGUGCAGCUGUCUUAUUAACAUGACAACCAACUACAGCUGAAACAAUACUAUGGUACAGGGACUAGCUCAUGUUAAAGACUGGUUAUUUAGGUAAAGAGGAUCUGGUGCUCUUGGUUUAGCUUCAGUGAUUUUCCAGCACUUAUUAAAGCCAUUGUGCCCUGAACAUGGAGACCCCCAAAUCCUCUAUGUGCCAAAGAUUAAGUUGUAGAGAAUUACAUCAAUGUUUGCUGUUGGUGUGCACCACAGAUGAGACCAAGCUUCCUGGUCCGGCUAAGUGGAAUCUUCCAUGCACUGUGCACCACUCAGCUAGAAAGUCAACUAAGCAGAAAGGAGAUAAGGAAUGGCUAUGGAAUACCUGACUUCUUUAUCUUGGUUAUGUGUCCACAAUUUUCAUAAAAAUAAAUAAUACACAUUAAGUCAAAAUCUGGGCUCAAAUGUGUAACAAGAAAACAAAAGGACAACAAUCUGGUAUUCCGGUUUUUUUUUUUUUUUUGAGACGGAGUCUCGCUCUGUUGCCCAGGCUGGAGUGCAGUGACGUGAUCUCGGCUCACUACAAGCUCCGCCUCCCAGGUUCACACCUUAGCCUCCCGAGUAGCUGGGACUACAGGCGCCCGCCACCACGCCCGCCUAAUGUUUUAAUUUUUUAGUAGAGACGGGGUUUCACCGUGUUGGCCAGGCUGGUCUCGAACUCCUGACCUCAGGUAAUCCACCUGCCUCAGCCUCCCAAAGUGCUGGAAUUACAGGUGUGAGCCACCGCACCCAGCCAACAAUCUGGUAUUCUUAAGGCAAAACAGUAGAAAUCACUUUAAAUAGACACUUUAUUAGAUCCACAGGCGAUAAAAUCCCAGAGCUACUGUUAGGCACGUAAAUAUAGACCCUGUAAGAAAAAAACAAUUGAGAGUACUAUUAGUUCUAUUAAGAGUUACUUGAGGGAACAUCUUUUUUUAAGAAAACCUAAAAAAGAAAACCUAGAAACUUAGAUUGCUCACUGAUGUCCCAUAUUCCGUGAAACGCCUGCCUACUGAAAAAACAAAUCCCACACCCUUUAUUUUAUUUUCUUAUUUUAGAGACAUGGUCUCAUCUGGUACCCAGGAGGAGUGCACCAUGCAAUGGUAUGAUUACAGCUCACUGUGCCUCAAACUCCCGGGCUCAAGUGACCCUCCUGCCUCAGCCUCCCAAGAAGCUGAAGCUACAGGCAGAUGACACCAUGCCCGGCUAAAUCUUUUUGUAGAGACUAGGUCUCGCUGUGUUGCCUAGGCUAAGAAAACUUUUCAAUAAAAGUUUCGAAUAGCAAAAAUUCUGUGGUCACAAGGUCUAUGUAUAUGCACUAUAGAGACAGGAAGACACAAUUUAAUAUAAAGAACAACAUUUCACUGUUAAAUAAUGCUGUAACCUUAAAAUAUUUAAUUAAUCCAAGACGUUAAAUCUGACUUGAAAUAAUGGUUAAUUUGGGUGGGGGGUGGUACAUGAAUGUUCAUUCUCUCUUUUGGAUCAAAAAUCGCGAAAGUAAAAUAACUCCUUAAAAGGAGUUUAAGCAAUUGAAGCAGAAAGAUUACAACUGAAACACCUUCCAUUUUAUCCAUAAAAUAUUUCCUGUCUUGAAUCUCAUUAAAAUCCCUAAUAACUAUAGUUCAAUUAUAGUAUCUUAUCAAAUUUCCAAUUCUAUCAAUUAUAACGUACACAAUUACUUUAUUUACUACUAAGAAAGAAAAAGUGCCAAUUAAACUAUGAUACUUCAUCUACUGGAAAUUGUAAGAUGCUUUCCAAUUUCAGAGAUGUUAAAAUAUUUCAGAAAGUGUUGGAAUCAAUGAAAUGCAGUAUCUGUCAACGACUUAUUUUAUAAAUUUAUUUUCUUUUCAGGUUGAUUUAAAUAGAUACAAAAUAGCUUACCUGCUAAAUAUUUAAUAUU
rnacentral:lncRNA from 10 species